rnacentral:rRNA from 1 species
GACGAACCGUGCGAACGUUGUUCGGAUUCACUGGGCUUAAAGGGCGCGUAGGCGGGUGAUCAAGUCCGGGGUGAAAUCCUUCAGCUCAACUGGAGAAUAGCCUUGGAUACUGGUCGCCUCGAGGGAGGUAGGGGCGGGCGGAACUUCCGGUGGAGCGGUGAAAUGCAUAGAUAGCUUCCAGAACCCCGAUUGCGUAGGCAGCUGACUAGGCUGGUACUGACACUGAGGCACGAAAGCGUGGGGAGCGAACAGG